rnacentral:lncRNA from 1 species
CCUGCACCACAGCUCACGGCAACACGGGAUCCCUCCCCACUGAGCAAGGCCAGGGAUGGAACCCACAUCCUCAUGGAUACUAGUCAGGAUCAGCAGACCCAGGCCAGCAAAGGCUAGCUGGAGCAGCCCCCAAAUUCUGACCAAGGCGCCAGCAGGAACAAAAGGUCUCCAUCCCGAAGCUCGUGCCAUGGCUGGACCAGAGCAGAUGUUCCACAUGUGGUUCUCUGAGUGAGUCCUCGUUCCACCACUUCUUAGCUGGGAGACCUUGAGUAAGAAUGUGGGCACCCUGGCUGGAGCUCCUGAAGCCAUCUUGUGACCUUGAGGAUAGAAGUCAUGGGCCAAGGAUGGGCCAAGCUGAGUGAGAAGUCACCUCCAUACCAGUCCUGAAUUGCCUGCUUUGAAACUUCUUCAUAAAAGAAAUGUGAGACUUCAUUUAAUUUAAGCCACUUUAGUUUUCUCUUUUAGACAGCUAAAUCAAAAUCCGAUACAACAACCACGCAGUUUCAUGCCUCUGAGUUUUUGCAUAGCUGUUCUCUCUGCUAGGAACUUUUCCUUCCAGUCCUCUACCUGGUGAACUUGUAAUCGUGUUUGAAGCUUCCACUGCAGCAUCCCACUCUGUGUGGAAUCCCUUCUAACUGACCCCUCAGGUAGGCAUAAUAUAUGUUUAAUAAAUAUUCAAAUAAUUAAGUAAUAAUUGUUGAAGGAAAACUUCUAAGAAUGAAUGAAAAAUGAAUCAUGUACAUAAAAAUGACAAGGAGGGAGUGCUCUUUGUGGCUUAGCAGUUAUUGAAACUGACAAGGGUCUAUGAGGAUGCAGGUUCGAUCCCUGGACUCGCUCAGUGGGUUAAGGAUCCGGUGUUGCCGUGAGCUGUGGUGUAGGUCACAGAUGGGACUCAGAUCACACGUUGCAGUGGCUGUGGCAUAGGCCAGCAGCUGCAGCUCAGAUUUGACCCCUAGCCUGGGAACCUCCAUGUGCCACAAGUGCAGCCCUAAAAAGCAAAAAAAAAAAAAAAAAAAAAAAAAAAAGACAAGGAGACAGUUAUUCUAGAGUGCUUCUCCUUCGAAGCUUCAACUCUUAGAGGGUCUUCUUUGGUCCCAAAGUCCCAAGGGAUGAGGUGGUAUCAAAACAGGCAGAUAUGGAGAUAUGGCAGGGAUUCGAGUCAACGCUGGGUGUGCUGUAUGACAGAAUUCCCAGUGAGGACAAAAAACAUAGCAAGAGAGAAAAAUGAAGUAAAAACAUAUUCAUGAGAGUUGAAGGAAACACCAACCAUUUUGUACACUUGCCACAAGCUUUUUUUUUCCUACAUUAGAAUUGAUUUCACCCCAAAAUAGCCUUCCUGCUGAGGUGAGCCGCCCAGAGUACCAAGUGAGUCUCUGCAAUGGCAAGGUUGGCAGAGAAGGUACAUGUAAAUUUCCACAUGAGACCUGGGUGAUGAGAAGUCCCUGAACUGCCAAAGCAGGUGAGGGGCGUUGUUGCUCCCCUGGAAAUACUUUGAAGCCAGCACUUGCAGGAAAGGAAUGUCCCCCUCAGCAAGCGAACAAGUAUUUAGCUAAGCAGGGACAAUGAGCUUCUGGAAAAAACAACAACAACAACAGAGCAUAUUAACAUGUUCUCUAUACUUCUCUACAUGGCCAUGAGCAAAGCAAGGAAGAGGGAGACGUGUUUUUUCUACCUAUCAUUUCAGCUCAACAAAUUUUUCUGAGGACCUAAUUAUACUGGGCAGAGAACUGGGUGCUGGGAGUUCCAGAAUGGCCACAAGGCACCCCUGUUCUCAAGCCCUGUUAUCAGGGCCCAGAAGGGGAGCUGAUAUCAUCAUUAUCAUCUUCACUAUUGCCAUCAGCAUCCUGUUCCCAGCCAGGACAUUUAUUCUUUGAGAAUUCACAGCCCAACGGAUGAGACUGAUCUAAAAGCAGAUGUUUGUGAGAUGAUGAGAUAAAUGCAUUUGAUGAAGUAGUAAAGAGGAGAAAGUACUUAUCUGAAGUUCAAGAAAGGUAUAACCAAGAGGGAAAUAGUGAACAAGGUUUUGAAGGAUAAAUAGGAGUUUGCCAGCCUUACACUAAGGUAAGACACUUGCAAGUUCUUUCGUUCCUAGAAAUCUUUAAAUGUGAUUCUGUAUAAUGGACCUCAAUGUUUGAACUAAUUCCUAGAAAGAUUCCUUCAAACAGCACUUUUCAAACAGGAAUAUGCUUAGGGUCACUUAAGAUUUCCGAUUUUAAGUCUGGUCUAAGUCCUCAGAAUUUUCAGUCUGGCAGAGUAGAGCUGCCAUAGGAGGUCCUGAAUGCUCCUGAUGUCUGUAUUUCUCAUGCCAACAAAUAACAAAAGAGUUCUCAGGCAGUACAGGUCUGUGGACCAUGCUUAGAAGAAAAUUCAUGUAAAGUAUCUCAGAUGCUCCAAAAAUGGUCAAAAUUUUUACCAUUUCUUCCACCAGAGCUGCCUCAGGACCCUGGUUCUCACUCACACAUAGAAAUCCCUGUGGAACAUCAACCAUCCCUAUGCCCAGAACAUACCUUGAACAGUUACAUCAGAAUGUCUCAGGAGGGGGG